rnacentral:lncRNA from 1 species
UUAACUUAACAAUUUAGUAACAUUUUUGUUUUGUCAAAACAUGAUUGUAAAGACAUAAAAAAUUGUUAAAAUUAUAUUUUUCAAGAGUGUCGUCUAUAACUUUAGAAGUUCAAUUGACUUUUAACCACGAUAGAACUUCAAAUAUGUUUGGUGCUAAGGAUUUAUAUUAUAAAAAUCAAUAUUUUAAAAACUGACUCAAAUAUUUACUUGGUAAAGUUAUGGAGCCACAUACUCAUAGGUCGAAUUUCAGAGUUAUGAAUAACAGAUUCAUCUACAUGACUCAAUCAUAUUGAAUCAGAUGACUCGACCGUAUAACUCAACCUUAUAAAACUCAUUAUUAGAAGCAAAUAUAUUAAAAAUAUAUUAAUUAUGAAUAUCUUAAAUAAGUAGUAACUAACUCAAAAAAUAAAUAAAUUUGGAGAAACUUUCACUUUAAAAUGAAAAAAAUGGAAAAAUGCAAAAUGCACGACUUCU